rnacentral:rRNA from 1 species
UACGGAGGGCGCGAACGUUGCCCGGAUUUACUGGGCGUAAAGAGCGUGUAGGCGGCUUGGGGCGUCCCAUGUGAAAGGCCACGGCUCAACCGUGGAGGAGCGUGGGAUACGCUCAGGCUAGACGGUGGGAGAGGGUGGUGGAAUUCCCGGAGUAGCGGUGAAAUGCGCAGAUACCGGGAGGAACGCAGAUGGCGAAGGCAGCCACCUGGCUCACUUGUGACGCUGAGGAGCGAAAGCGUUGGGAGCAAACCGG